GACGAACGCUGGCGGCGUGCUUAACACAUGCAAGUCGAGCGGAAAGGCCUCUUCGGGGGUACUCGAGCGGCGAACGGGUGAGUAACACGUGAGUAAUCUGCCCUUCACUCUGGGAUAGCCACCGGAAACGGUGAUUAAUACCGGAUACGACACGUCCAGGCAUCCGGUGCGUGUGGAAACUUUUUGGGUGGGGGAUGUGCUUGCGGCCUAUCAGCUUGUUGGUGGGGUAAUGGCCUACCAAGGCUUCGACGGGUAGCCGGCCUGAGAGGGUGACCGGCCACACUGGGACUGAGACACGGCCCAGACUCCUACGGGAGGCAGCAGUGGGGAAUAUUGGACAAUGGGCGGAAGCCUGAUCCAGCAACGCCGCGUGAGGGAUGACGGCCUUCGGGUUGUAAACCUCUUUCAGCACCGACGAAGCGAUCCUUUUGGGGAGUGACGGUAGGUGCAGAAGAAGGACCGGCCAACUACGUGCCAGCCGCCGCCGUAAGAC
rnacentral:rRNA from 1 species